GAAUAUUGGACAAUGGGCGCAAGCCUGAUCCAGCCAUGCCGCGUGUGUGAAGAAGGCCUUCGGGUUGUAAAGCACUUUUGUCCGGAAAGAAAAGCUUCGGGUUAAUACCCCGGGGUCAUGACGGUACCGGAAGAAUAAGCACCGGCUAACUUCGUGCCAGCAGCCGCGGUAAUACGAAGGGUGCAAGCGUUACUCGGAAUUACUGGGCGUAAAGCGUGCGUAGGUGGUUUGUUAAGUCUGAUGUGAAAGCCCUGGGCUCAACCUGGGAAUGGCAUUGGAUACUGGCAGUCUAGAGUGCGGUAGAGGGGUGUGGAAUUCCCGGUGUAGCAGUGAAAUGCGUAGAUAUCGGGAGGAACAUCUGUGGCGAAGGCGACACCCUGGACCAGCACUGACACUGAGGCACGAAAGCGUGGGGAGCAAACAGG
rnacentral:rRNA from 1 species